rnacentral:rRNA from 1 species
GAUGAACGCUGGCGGCGUGCCUAAUACAUGCAAGUCGAGCGAAGCGGGGACGGGUGAGUAACACGUGGGUAACCUCCUAUAGAACGGGAAUAACUUCGGGAACCGUGAGCUAAACGGGAUAGUUCCAAUUGGGGCUUCGCUGCAUUAGCUAGUUGGUAAGGUAACGGCUUACCAAGGCAACGAUGCCUAGCCGGCCUGAGAGGAUGAUCAGCCACACUGGAACUGAGACACGGCCCAGACUCCUACGGGAGGCAGCAGUAGGGAAUAUUCCGCAAUGGGCGAAAGCCUGAUGCAGCCAAGCCGCGUGAAUGAAGAAGGCCCUAGGAUUGUAAAACACUUUGAGUCGGGAAGCGGUACCUAAAGAGAAAGCAACGGCUAACUACGUGCCAGCAGCCGCGGUAAUAC